rnacentral:rRNA from 1 species
CCCUUCGGGGCGAGCGGCGGACGGGUUAGUAACGCGUGGGAACAUACCCUUUGGUACGGAAUAGCCUCGGGAAACUGAGAGUAAUACCGUAUGAGCCCUUCGGGGGAAAGAUUUAUCGCCAAAGGAUUGGCCCGCGUAAGAUUAGAUAGUUGGUGGGGUAAUGGCCUACCAAGUCUACGAUCUUUAGCUGGUUUUAGAGGAUGAUCAGCAACACUGGGACUGAGACACGGCCCAGACUCCUACGGGAGGCAGCAGUGGGGAAUCUUAGACAAUGGGCGCAAGCCUGAUCUAGCCAUGCCGCGUGUGUGAUGAAGGCCUUAGGGUCGUAAAGCACUUUCGCCAGGGAUGAUAAUGACAGUACCUGGUAAAGAAACCCCGGCUAACUCCGUGCCAGCAGCCGCGGUAAUACGGAGGGGGUUAGCGUUGUUCGGAAUUACUGGGCGUAAAGCGUACGUAGGCGGAUCAGAAAGUAAGGGGUGAAAUCCCAGGGCUCAACCCUGGAACUGCCUCUUAAACUCCUGGUCUUGAGUUCGAGAGAGGUGAGUGGAAUUCCGAGUGUAGAGGUGAAAUUCGUAGAUAUUCGGAGGAACACCAGUGGCGAAGGCGGCUCACUGGCUCGAUACUGACGCUGAGGUACGAAAGUGUGGGGAGCAAACAGGAUUAGAUACCCUGGUAGUCCACACCGUAAACGAUGAAUGCCAGUCGUCGGGCAGUA